rnacentral:rRNA from 1 species
GACGAACGCUGGCGGCGUGCUUAACACAUGCAAGUCGAACGGAAAGGCCCCUUUGGGGGUACUCGAGUGGCGAACGGGUGAGUAACACGUGAGUAACCUGCCCUUGACUUCGGGAUAACUUCAGGAAACUGGGGCUAAUACCGGAUAGGAAUCCUUGCUGCAUGGUGGGGGUUGGAAAGCUUCGGCGGUUUUGGAUGGACUCGCGGCUUAUCAGCUUGUUGGUGGGGUAGUGGCUUACCAAGGCUUUGACGGGUAGCCGGCCUGGGAGGGCGACCGGCCACAUUGGGACUGGGAUACGGCCCAGAAUCCUACGGGAGGCAGCAGUGGGGAAUAUUGCACAAUGGGCGGGAGCCUGAUGCAGCAACGCCGCGUGCGGGAUGACGGCCUUCGGGUUGUAAACCGCUUUCAGCAGGGGCGAAGCUUGUGGUGACGGUACCUGCAGAAGAAGCACCGGCUAACUACGUG